rnacentral:rRNA from 1 species
GUCGAGAAUCUUUCACAAUGGGGGCAACCCUGAUGGAGCGACGCCGCGUGGAGGACAAGGUCUUCGGAUUGUAAACUCCUGUCAUGCGUGAACAAGGUUGCUUGGUUAAUACCUGGGCAAAUUGAUGGUAACGCAAGAGGAAGAGACGGCUAACUCUGUGCCAGCAGCCGCGGUAAUACAGAGGUCUCAAGCGUUGUUCGGAAUCACUGGGCGUAAAGGGUGCGUAGGUGGCGUGGUAAGUCAGAUGUGAAAGCCCGGGGCUCAACCUCGGAACUGCAUCCGAUACUGCCAUGCUAGAGUACUGGAGAGGUGACUAGAAUUCUCGGUGUAGCAGUGAAAUGCGUAGAUAUCGAGAGGAAUACCAAAGGCGUAGGCAGGUCACUGGACAGUUACUGACACUGAGGCACGAAGGCCAGGGGAGCGAACGGGAUUAGAUACCCUUGUAGUCC